CACCAUCAUACUCUCACACACACACACCAUCAUACUCUCUCACACACACCAUCAUACUCUCUCACACACCAUCAUACUCUCUCACACACACCAUCAUACUCUCACACACAUACCAUCAUACUCUCUCACACACACCAUCAUACUCUCAUACAUGGUUUACUAUACUCUGUCACAUAUACUACUAUACCCUCUUACAACUAUAAUCACACUUUCUUUUAUUUACUAUUAUACUCUCAUACACAGCACUAUUUUCUCUUGCACAUAUAACUAUAGCUACUUAAACAUGCAUUAUGUGCUUUCAUGAUAAUCUGUGUAAAAGAGAAUAGUAGUAUAUGUAUGUAAGUUUGGUAGUCUGUGUAAGGGACGUUAACACUGUAUGUAAAACAAAGAUCUACUGUAUGUGUAAGAGAAUAUUAUUAUAUGUAAGCGUAAUAAAUAGUGUAUGUGAAUGCAAAUAAUCAUGUUUAUGGAACAGAAUGAUAGUGAAUGUAAGACAGAAUGAUAGUGCAUGUGAAUAAGAAUAGUUGUAUGUGUGAGAGAGUUUGAUAGUGUGUGUGAGAGAGUUUGAUUGAUACGGAAACGAGUUUGAUUGAAACGGAAGUAAUGUUAAAUUCUCAGUACCUGAUUGGUUAAUAGAAGACGCGGGAUUUCACAGACAUGUCCCGCCUUCCUCAUUAUUACUGAUAAGAGAGGAUAGUGGACCGAGAGAGAAUCAAUGGAGCAUCGGCCUGUUAACAUUUUAAACUUUUCCACCGCUGCCACAUCCAUGUCAGAAAUGUGGAUUUAAACCCGACAGCCCGACAGGAGUCUAAACGCGGCCGCGGAGGAAGAGAUGCGGUGAAGCUUUAUAUCCGAACCAUCAGCCAGGUGCUGACCUCCAUAUCAGCCUCAACCACAGAGAGCAGAGGCUCCAGAGUCAGGGACAGUAUUGAACUUUUGAUGGCAUGAGGAAACAAACUGGUUUCACCAAAGUUGCACGAGGGCCAGAAACUAAAUGGCUUCAUGAUUGACAAUACAUUUACAUCAAAGGCAGUGUACAUUAGACAAUGACACAUUUACGUUUGUCACCACAGAUUUAGAGGACAGUGGUGUGGAGGUUGACACGACAACAGCAUCUAGUGACCACAGAAGUACCACACCAGUCAUUGUAUGACUACAAGGGCUAAGGAUACCUUAAUCCACCUGAGUGACAGAAUAUUUGCUGUUGAGACUGUUCUGAAAUAUUUGGUUUCUGCAUGCAACAAUAAAUAAGAAACAUUUGUUUGCUUGGGACAAGAUCUUUGUUAACCAGUAUAAUAGUGAUUUCCUGACCUGUCCAUAACUUGAUAAUAAAUAUCAAAAUAUUA